GAUGAACGCUGGCGGCGUGCCUAAUACAUGCAAGUCGAGCGAACGGACGAGAAGCUUGCUUCUCUGAUGUUAGCGGCGGACGGGUGAGUAACACGUGGAUAACCUACCUAUAAGACUGGGAUAACUUCGGGAAACCGGAGCUAAUACCGGAUGAUAUUUUGAACCGCAUGGUUCAAAAGUGAAAGACGGUCUUGCUGUCACUUAUAGAUGGAUCCGCGCUGCAUUAGCUAGUUGGUAAGGUAACGGCUUACCAAGGCAACGAUGCAUAGCCGACCUGAGAGGGUGAUCGGCCACACUGGAACUGAGACACGGUCCAGACUCCUUCGGGAGGCAGCAGUAGGGAAUCUUCCGCAAUGGGCGAAAGCCUGACGGAGCAACGCCGCGUGAGUGAUGAAGGUCUUCGGAUCGUAAAACUCUGUUAUUAGGGAAGAACAUAUGUGUAAGUAACUGUGCACAUCUUGACGGUACCUAAUCAGAAAGCCACGGCUAACUACGUG
rnacentral:rRNA from 1 species